GAUGUUUUGACAUGAAAUUAGCCCCCAUCUGGGUGGUGCUAUAAAUUAAAGUAGCGAGGAAUUCAAAAGCAUUUUUAAAGAGUAACAGAAUCCCCAUUUUUUAAUCUCUCUGGUUUAUAUUCCAGGAGUGGAAAUGUCUAAUUUUACUCCUCAGUUUUGGCCAGUGUGGAUUGCAGUGAUGGAUGAGAGGAGGGAGCAGGAAAACUUGUGGAUUGUUUGGAAAAUGAAGGAGGAGAAGGAACAAGACAAGAGAGAAGCACUGAAGCUUUUCCCAGCAAACACACUGGGAAGGAGCUGGAUUUUUGGGGUUGGGAUCUCUCCAAAUUUGGAGUUUAGGACAGGGUUCAUGGUGGUAGAACUGGCAAUCAUUAACCUCGACUUGUUUACCUGCAGCUCCAGGUACUAAAAACAACCUGAACACAACAAUUCAGGGAACUGAAACGUUUUGGCAUUUCAGGAAUGAAAACAAGGUCGAAAUGGGUUGAUGUGGGGCCAGAACCACCUGGGAUUUCUCUUUCCUUGCCAUUCCAGGUGCCACCAGCCUGGCUAAAAGGAAUAUAAAUACACCUGGAUCUCUUGGAGAGGAGUGAGGGUCAGAAUUUCCAGGGGACGACUUUGACUGCCUCUCUUCAAGGGAACAGCAUCCAAACGAAAAAUUUCCAUCAUAUUUUCCACAUGGAGACAAAGUCUAAAUAAAAGCUACUGAC